UUGGAGGGCAAGUCUGGUGCCAGCAGCCGCGGUAAUUCCAGCUCCAAUAGCGUAUAUUAAAGUUGUUGCAGUUAAAAAGCUCGUAGUUGAAUUUCGGGGUCAGUAGAUUGGUCAUGCCACUGGUAUGUACUGGUCUCACUGAUUCCUCCUUCCUGAUGAGCCGUAAUGCCAUUAAUUUGGUGUUGCGAGGAAUCUGGACUGUUACUUUGAAAAAAUUAGAGUGUUUAAAGCAGGCUAACGCUUGAAUACAUUAGCAUGGAAUAAUGAAAUAGGACGUUCGAUCUUAUUUUGUUGGUUUCUAAGAUUGACGUAAUGAUUAAUAGGGAUAGUUGGGGGCAUUAGUAUUCAAUUGUCAGAGGUGAAAUUCUUGGAUUUAUUGAAGACUAACUACUGCGAAAGCAUUUGCCAAGGAUGUUUUCAUUAAUCAAGAACGAAAGUUAGGGGAUCGAAGACGAUCAGAUACCGUCGUAGUCUUAACCAUAGACUAUGCCGACUAGGGAUCGGAUGAUGUUAAUUUUUUAAUGACUCAUUCGGCGCCUUACGGGAAAC
rnacentral:rRNA from 1 species